rnacentral:lncRNA from 1 species
GUACAUCUUGACAGUCGAGACAGAUGAAAAGGAGAAUUCGGACCGGGGAGAUCUCUACUAACUCAUAUGAGGGCGUCCUAAACUGUAGUGUGUUCCCCCCUUGGCAAACCGUGAUUAAAAAUAGAGAGAAAGAGAUAAGGCGUGUGUGUUUGCCACUCAAAGACCACGUUUCAAACAAAAUGUAAUGUUGGAUAGCUAGGAUAUGAAGUUUAUACUUUAUAGAAUUUAAAACAAUAAACAGUUUGAG